GGCUCCUUGUGAUUUAUAAAUAAGGAGUCGGACCUGCCCAGUGAAUUUUUUAACGGCCGCGGUACUCUGACCGUGCAAAGGUAGCAUAAUCAUUUGCCUUAUAAUUGAAGGCUUGUAUGAAUGGUUUGACAAGAGGGUAGCUGUCUCUUUAUAAUUAGGUGGAAUUUUAUUUUCAGGUGAAGAAGCCUGAAUGAUAUUGAAAGACAAGAAGACCCUAUCGAGCUUUAAAAAAAUUAAUGAAUUUUAAAUAUCUUAAUAUUAUAUAAAAAAUCAUUUGUUAAAAAUUUUGGUUGGGGCGACUGGGGAACAAAUAAAGCUUCCUUUAACAAAAAAACAAUCAGGUAUUGAUCCAAAAAAUUUGAUUAAAGAAUUUAGUUACCGUAGGGAUAACAGCAUUAUCUUUUUUGAGAGUUCUAAUCGAAAAAAAGGUUUGUGACCUCGAUGUUGGACCAGAAUAUCCUGAAGAUGCAGCCGUCUUCAAGGGUUGGUCUGUUCGACCAUUAAAAUUCU
rnacentral:rRNA from 1 species